rnacentral:rRNA from 3 species
UCCGUAGGUGAACCUGCGGAGGGAUCAUUACAAGUGACCCCGGUCUAACCACCGGGAUGUUCAUAACCCUUUGUUGUCCGACUCUGUUGCCUCCGGGGCGACCCUGCCUUCGGGCGGGGGCUCCGGGUGGACACUUCAAACUCUUGCGUAACUUUGCAGUCUGAGUAAACUUAAUUAAUAAAUUAAAACUUUUAACAACGGAUCUCUUGGUUCUGGCAUCGAUGAAGAACGCAGCGAAAUGCGAUAAGUAAUGUGAAUUGCAGAAUUCAGUGAAUCAUCGAAUCUUUGAACGCACAUUGCGCCCCCUGGUAUUCCGGGGGGCAUGCCUGUUCGAGCGUCAUUUCACCACUCAAGCCUCGCUUGGUAUUGGGCAUCGCGGUCCGCCGCGUGCCUCAAAUCGACCGGCUGGGUCUUCUGUCCCCUAAGCGUUGUGGAAACUAUUCGCUAAAGGGUGUUCGGGAGGCUACGCCGUAAAACAACCCCAUUUCUAAGGUUGACCUCGGAUCAGGUAGGGAUACCCGCUGAACUUAAGCAUAUCAAUAAGCGGAGGA